rnacentral:rRNA from 1 species
UACGUAGGGUGCAAGCGUUAAUCGGAAUUACUGGGCGUAAAGCGUGCGCAGGCGGCUUUGCAAGACAGAUGUGAAAUCCCCGGGCUUAACCUGGGAACUGCAUUUGUGACUGCAUGGCUGGAGUGCGGCAGAGGGGGAUGGAAUUCCGCGUGUAGCAGUGAAAUGCGUAGAUAUGCGGAGGAACACCGAUGGCGAAGGCAAUCCCCUGGGCCUGCACUGACGCUCAUGCACGAAAGCGUGGGGAACAAACAGG